ACACAACCCGCACACACACAACACACACACGCAUACAUGGAGGGAGAGAGAGAUCUCCCUUUCUCUCUCUAAAUCUCUACCAAAAUUGAUGAAUUUGGUGGAGAAGCAAGCUUGGAGGUUGAUCUUCAUCUCCUUUAUCUUCUUCCUCUCCAUUAGAGCAAGUUUUGAAGGUAAGCUUCAAACCCUUUAAUGGCAUUUCUCUCUAGUUUGGUUUUUAAGCUCUAAGAAUGGAUUUAGAGGUAUUCUAGCAUGCUAAUUAGAGGUUUGAUUUUUGAAACCAAGGCUCUAAUGGUGGAUUUUUACCUAGUUGUAAUCUAGGGCUCAAAAAUGCUAAUUUGGUAAAUAUGAGGGUUUGAUCUCAUUUGACCCUCUGUAAACCUAAUUGCUAGGUAAACGAACGCGUGGGCAAAGACGGUUCGGCGAUUCGUUGAGCCGUUGCGAAGUUAUUAAAGAAACGGACGUUUAGGCUUCGUUUCCGCCUGGAAGGCCGAGGCGACAUCGUAAACCCAUGAAAACGGAUUUGAAGC
rnacentral:lncRNA from 1 species